rnacentral:rRNA from 1 species
UACGUAGGGGGCUAGCGUUGUCCGGAAUCAUUGGGCGUAAAGAGCGUGUAGGCGGUCCGGUAAGUCCGCUGUGAAAGUCGGGGGCUCAACCCUCGAAUGCCGGUGGAUACUGUCGGGCUAGAGUGCGGAAGAGGAGAAUGGAAUUCCUGGUGUAGCGGUGAAAUGCGCAGAUAUCAGGAAGAACACCCGUGGCGAAGGCGGUUCUCUGGGACGGUACUGACGCUGAGACGCGAAAGCGUGGGGAGCGAACAGG